rnacentral:rRNA from 1 species
UACAGAGGUCCCGAGCGUUGUUCGGAUUCACUGGGCGUAAAGGGUGCGUAGGUGGUGAGGUAAGUCGGAUGUGAAAUCUCCGAGCUCAACUCGGAAAUGGCAUUGGAAACUACCUUGCUUGAGGGUUGGAGGGGGGACUGGAAUACUUGGUGUAGCAGUGAAAUGCGUAGAUAUCGUUUGGAACGCCAAUGGUGAAAACAGGUUGCUGGGAGUGUGCUGACGCUGAGACACGAAAGCCAGGGGAGCGAACGGG